rnacentral:rRNA from 1 species
UACGUAGGGUGCUAGCGUUGUCCGGAUUUAUUGGGCGUAAAGGGCUCGUAGGCGGCGUGUCGCGUCGGGGAGUGAAAGCCCGCUGCUUAACGGCGGGUUGGCUUCCGGUACGGGCAUCGCUGGAGUGCGGCAGGGGAGACUGGAAUUCCUGGUGUAGCGGUGGAAUGCGCAGAUAUCGGGAAGAACACCCGUGGCGAAGGCGGCUCUCUGGGACGGUACUGACGCUGAGACGCGAAAAGCGUGGGGGAGCGAACAGGG